rnacentral:lncRNA from 1 species
GUCAGCUCGUUGAACAAAAUAUACAACAUGAAAUUGUGGUAUUUCUUUUCCAUAUAACUCUGAUAAUAUAAGUAGUAUAAUCUAAGAACAAUUGAUUUAUGGAUGGAUGUUCUUUUUAUUAUAAACUAGGCAUGAAGUAUGAUAUAGUUGUGAUUUUAUUAUACAUAUUGUAUGGGAUACAAUACACAUGUGUGUGAGUCUUAUAUCCAUGGAUGUCCCCAAUCCCCUCCAUUUCGUUAUUAAAGCAACCUUCCUAACCUCUCUUUUUCCCCAAACCUCUCAUACAUUUCUAAUUCAUACCUCCACCAUUGUAUCCAUCUAUGUUGUCUCUUCCACUUAUGUUGUCUUCAUCUUUUCCUUUUGCACCUUUUUCAUGUGCACCUUCUUUGUUUAUUCCACCAAUAUUCUCUUUCUCAUCGUCCCAAAAUGAGCCUCCCCAGUCUCUCCAACCUUCUGUUACACUUUCAUGGACUUCACCUAUUUCUUUUGCACCUUUACCUUGUCCACUAUUUUUUUUACCUCCACCAUUAUUCUCUUGUCCAUCUUCCCAAAAUGAUCCUCCCCAAUCCCGCCAACCAUCGGUUCCUAUUUUUGUUUUGGAUUCUCUUGUUACACCAUCUGCAAAUAAAAAAAAAUACUUUUUAGUAUAUAAUAAAUAAAAUGCACAUACACCUAUAUAUAUAUAUAUAUAUAUAUAUAUAUAUAUAUAUAUAUAUAUAUAUAUAUAUAUAUAUAUAUAUGUAUGUAUAGACACACACAACAACAACAACUUUGAUCUUUGGAAGCCUAAAUUGCCCUAGUAGAGAUAAGAAGUAGUAAACAAAGAAAGAACAUGAAGAAAAAUUGGUUGAUUUUCAUCCUUGAUUAACCAAUAUUAUAUUUUAGUCAAUAUGAAUACAAUAAGAUGCUAUUUAUAGAUAUUAUUUGAUAAAAUAAGAAUACAAUUAUUUUGAUUAGAUAAAAUAUAAUGUACAAUAAAUAAUGAUUAUUAUAUAUAUCAUUUGGUUGAUUGUGAGAAUAAUGGGUUAUAUAAACACCUAUUGAGAGAUUGAAAGGUUAUAUUGGGUCAUGUUUAUCAAACGAGGUAAGAAUAUUUGUCACACAACAACAGCUAACAAGUGAUUAUAACGUUUGAUAUUUUCUAUAAUAUUAAACAUGGUUUUAACUAUUUGUAAAACCAUAAUAGUCAUCAUAAAGAAAGAACAAAUUAUUCUUCAUACCAAUUCAUCUAAAUAAUGAAAAAAAUAUUAGGAUCAUCAUAAGUAAAUGUAUCCAUUUAUUCAAUCACUUAUUUUUAAUGAAAUAGGAAUUGACUUCUAAUAUGUUAAUAAAUUUAUAUCAUUCCUACAUACUAUUAUCAAAAACCAUUGAAUAUUAGUAUAUGAUAUAGUCUACCUUGUCCUCCUUCUUCCUCACCUCCACCAUUAUUCUCUUCUCCAUAUCCCCAAAAUGAUCCUCCCCAAUCUCGCCAACUAUCAAUUCCUAUUUUUGUUUUGGAUUCUUUUGUUACACCAACUGCAAAUAAAAAAAAAACUUUUGGUUAAAUAUAACAAUAGGUAAAAUGCACAUACAACCUUAUGUUAUAUUUUCAUGGACUUCACCUUUACCUUCUCCACCUUCUUUGUCACUUCCACCAUUAUUCUCUUGUCCAUCUUCCCAAAAUGAGCCUCCCCAAUCUCGCCAACCAUCAAUUCCUACUUUUGUUUUGGAUACUUUUGCUACACCAACUGCAAAUCAAAAAAAUACUUUUUAUUAAAUAUAAUAAAAGAAUAAAUAAAAUUCACAUACAAUUUAUAUUUAUACUUUGAUUCCCAUCUUUGGAUGUCUGAAUUGCCCUGGUAGAGAUAAAAAGUAGUAAACAAAGAAAGAACAUGAAGAAAAAAUGCUUGAUUUUCAUCCUUGAUCAACCAAUAGUAUAUUGUAGUAAAAUAUGAAUACAACCAUAUUCUAUUUAUAGAGAUAAUUUGAAAAAUAUAAAAAA